rnacentral:rRNA from 1 species
UACGGAAGGCAGCAGUGGGGAAUUUUGGACAAUGGACGAAAGUCUGAUCCAGCCAUGCCGCGUGCGGGAAGAAGGCCUUCGGGUUGUAAACCGCUUUUGUCAGGGAGAAAGCUCCGAACUAAUAUUUUGGGGUGAUGACGGUACCUGAAGAAUAAGCACCGGCUAACUACGUGCCAGCAGCCGCGGUAAUACGUAGGGUGCAAGCGUUAAUCGGAAUUACUGGGCGUAAAGCGUGCGCAGGCGGUUCUAUAAGACAGAUGUGAAAUCCCCGGGCUCAACCUGGGAACUGCAUUUUGUGACUGUAGAGCUGGAGUGCGGCAGAGGGGGAUGGAAUUCCGCGUGUAGCAGUGAAAUGCGUAGAUAUGCGGAGGAACACCGAUGGCGAAGGCAAUCCCCUGGGGCCUGCACUGACGCUCAUGCACGAAAGCGUGGGGAGCAAACAGGAUUAAGAUACC